AUUGAACGCUGGCGGCAGGCCUAACACAUGCAAGUCGAGCGAGCGGCGGACGGGUGAGUAAUGUCUGGGAAACUGCCUGAUGGAGGGGGAUAACUACUGGAAACGGUAGCUAAUACCGCAUACCAUCAGAUGUGCCCCGGUGGGAUUAGCUAGUAGGUGGGGUAACGGCUCACCAAGGCGACGAUCCCUAGCUGGUCUGAGAGGAUGACCAGCCAAACUGGAACUGAGAAACGGUCCAGAAUCCUACGGGAGGCAGCAGUGGGGAAUAUUGAACAAGGGGCGCAAGCCUGAUGCAGCCAUGCCGCGUGUGUGAAGAAGGCCUUCGGGUUGUAAAGCACGUUCAGCGGGGAGGCGUUACCCGCAGAAGAAGCACCGGCUAACUCCGUGCCAGCAGCCGCGGUAAUAC
rnacentral:rRNA from 1 species